rnacentral:rRNA from 1 species
CCUACGGGUGGCAGCCGUGGGGAAUAUUGCACCAUGGGGGGAACCCUGAUGCAGCAACGCCGCGUGGGUGAAGAAGUACUUCGGUAUGUAAAGCCCUUUCAGCAGGGAAGAAAAUGACGGUACCUUACCAAGAAGCCCCGGCUAACUACGUGCCAGCAGCCGCUGUAAUACGUAGGGGGCAAGCGUUAUCCGGAUGUACUGGGUGUAAAGGGAGCGUAGACGGCAGUGAACGUCUGGAGUGAAAGCUAGUGGCUCAACCACGGGACUGCUUUUGACACUGUGUUGCUGGAGUGCAGGAGGGGCAAGCGGAAUUCCUGGUGUAGCGGUGAAAUGCGUAGAUAUUAGGAGGAACACCGGUGGCGAAGGCGGCUUACUGGACUGUAACUGACGUUGAGGCUCGAAGGCGUGGGGAGCAAACAGGAUUAGAUACCCCUGUAGUC